rnacentral:rRNA from 1 species
AUUUGGAUGACUUGUUGCUAGGGGUGAAAGGCCAAUCAAAAUCGGAGAUAGCUGGUUUUCCGCGAAAACUAUUUAGGUAGUGCGUUGAGAUAUAAACUUUGAGGGGUAGAGCACUAAAUAGGCUAGGGGGAAGAAAUUCUUACCAAACCUAAUAAAACUCCGAAUACUCAAAGUGGUUCCUCAGCAGACAGACGGUGAAUGCUAACGUCCAUCGUCGAGAGGGAAACAACCCAGACCACCAAUUAAGGUCCCCAAGUUAUGGUUAAGUGUGAAAGGAUGUGAAGACUCCAAAACAGCCGGGAGGUUGGCUUAGAAGCAGCCAUCCUUUAAAGAUAGCGUAACAGCUCACCGGUCUAAUUAAGAGACUUUGCGCCUAAGAUGUAACGGGGCUCAAACCAUACACCGAAGUUGUGGAUUUAAGAAAGUCUUCGGACUUUUUUAUCUGGUAGCGGAACGUUCUGUAAGCCUGCGAAGAGAGACCCGUGAGGGCUCUUGGAGGUAUCAGAAGUGCGAAUGCUGACAUAAGUAACGACAAACAGAGUGAAAGACUCUGUCGCCGAGAGUACAAGGGUUCCUGCGUAAAGUUAAUCUUCGCAGGGUUAGCCGGCCCCUAAGACGAGGACGAAAGUCGUAGUCGAUGGGAAUCAGGUAAAUAUUCCUGAGCCUGGUGGAAGUGACGGAUCACGUAAAUUGUUAACUCUUAUUGGAUUGAGUUAGCCGUGAAGUGGUCCCAGGAAAUAGCUCCAUCAUAAGACCGUACCCCAAACGGACACACGUGUACCGGUAGAGAAUACCUAGGCGCUUGAGAGAAUGAUGUUGAAGGAACUCGGCAAAAUGCUUCCGUAACUUCGGGAUAAGGAAGACCUAAUUUUGGGCAACCAUAAUUAGGUGGCACAAGCCAGGGACAAGCGACUGUUUAUCAAAAACACAGCACUCUGCUAACACGUAAGUGGAUGUAUAGGGUGUGACGCCUGCCCGGUGCUGGAAGGUUAACGUGAGAUGUGCAAGCAUCGAUCCGAAGCCCCAGUGAACGGCGGCCGUAACUAUAACGGUCCUAAGGUAGCGAAAUUCCUUGACGGGUAAGUUCCGUCCUGCAUGAAUGGCGUAACGAUUUGUCCGCUGUCUCCAACAUCAACUCAGUGAAAUUGAAUUCUCCGUGAAGAUGCGGAGUUCCCGUGGUUAGACGGAAAGACCCCGUGCACCUUUACUAUAACUUUACAUUGGUAUUAGAAAUGACAUGUGUAGCAUAGGAGGGAGACUUUGAAGUGAUAGCGCUAGCUGUCAUGGAGUCAUUAGUGAAAUACCUCUCUUGUUAUUUUUGAUAUCUAACUGCAUGCCAUUAUCUGGCUGCAAGACACUGUAUGGUGGGUAGUUUGACUGGGGCGGUCGCCUCCUAAAGAGUAACGGAGGCGUGCGAAGGUUGGCUCAGACCGGUCAGAA